rnacentral:rRNA from 1 species
AUUGAACGCUGGCGGCAUGCCUUACACAUGCAAGUCGAACGGCAGCGCGGGAGCAAUCCUGGCGGCGAGUGGCGAACGGGUGAGUAAUAUAUCGGAACGUGCCCAGUAGUGGGGGAUAGCCCGGCGAAAGCCGGAUUAAUACCGCAUACGACCUGAGGGUGAAAGGGGGGGAUCGCAAGACCUCUCGCUAUUGGAGCGGCCGAUAUCAGAUUAGGUAGUUGGUGGGGUAAAGGCCUACCAAGCCUGCGAUCUGUAGUUGGUCUGAGAGGACGACCAGCCACACUGGGACUGAGACACGGCCCAGACUCCUACGGGAGGCAGCAGUGGGGAAUUUUGGACAAUGGGCGCAAGCCUGAUCCAGCAAUGCCGCGUGCAGGAAGAAGGCCUUCGGGUUGUAAACUGCUUUUGUCAGGGAAGAAAUCCUCUAGGCUAAUACCUUGGGGGGAUGACGGUACCUGAAGAAUAAGCACCGGCUAACUACGUGCCAGCAGCCGCAGUAAAAC